rnacentral:rRNA from 1 species
UACGAAGGGGGCGAGCGUUAUUCGGAAUCACUGGGCGUAAAGCGUGCGUAGGCUGUUUGACAAGUUGGGAGUGAAAGCCCAGGGCUCAACCCUGGAAUUGCUCUCAAAACUGUCAGACUCGAAUCUCGGAGAGGAUAGCGGAAUUUCCAGUGUAGUAGUGAAAUACGUAGAUAUUGGAAGGAACACCAGUGGCGAAAGCGGCUAUCUGGACGAGUAUUGACGCUGAGGCACGAAAGCGUGGGGAUCAAACAGG